GACGGAGGGGGCUAGCGUUUGUUCGGAAUUACUGGGCGUAAAAGCGCACGUAGGCGGCCUUUCAAGUCAGAUGUGAAAGCCCCGGGCUUAACCCGGGAAUUGCAUUUGAUACUGUUGGGCUUGAGACCGGGAGAGGAUAGCGGAAUUCCCAGUGUAGAGGUGAAAUUCGUAGAUAUUGGGAAGAACACCAGUGGCGAAGGCGGCUAUCUGGACCGGUACUGACGCUGAGGUGCGAAAGCGUGGGGAGCAAACAGG
rnacentral:rRNA from 1 species